UACGGGGGGGGCAAGCGUUGUUCGGAAUUACUGGGCGUAAAGGGCUCGUAGGCGGCCAACUAAGUCAGACGUGAAAUCCCUCGGCUUAACCGGGGAACUGCAUCUGAUACUGGAUGGCUUGAGUUCGGGAGAGGGAUGCGGAAUUCCAGGUGUAGCGGUGAAAUGCGUAGAUAUCAGGAGGAACACCGGUGGUGCAGACGGCUCUCUGGACCGUAACUGACGCUGAGACACGAAAGCGUGGGUAGCAAACAGG
rnacentral:rRNA from 1 species